rnacentral:rRNA from 1 species
UUAAGUGACGAUAGCCUAGGAGAUACACCUGUACCCAUGCCGAACACAGCAGUUAAGCCCUAGAACGCCUGAUGUAGUUGGGGGUU